UUCUUAUCCAGAGUGGUGGAGGGACUGGCCCUGUGAAACCCAGCAACCAGUAUUAUUUUAUAAUACAUGGUGCUAAUUCCUACAGCUUAUAAAGCUGAGAGAUGAGAG
rnacentral:ncRNA from 2 species